GCCUUGUUAGCUUAGUCGGUUGAGCAUUAGACUUGUAUAGUUGCUCCUCCUGGGUAAGACUGUUAGGGUUGCAAGUUCGAAUCUUCCCUGAGGCA